GCUGGGUGCAGUGGACUACUCCUGUAAUCCCAGCAGCCUGGGAGGCUGAGGCAGGAGGAUUGUGAAUUCAAAGCCAGCCUCAGCAAAAGCAAGGUGCUAAGCAAUUCAAUGAGACUCUGUUUCUA
rnacentral:sRNA from 1 species